CGCGUAGGCGGCAAAUUAAGUCAGCUGUGAAAUCUCCGAGCUUAACUCGGAACUGUCAGCUGAUACUGAUCUGCUUGAGUGCGGAAGGGGCAAUCGGAAUUCUUGGUGUAGCGGUGAAAUGCGUAGAUAUCAAGAGGAACACCUGAGGUGAAGACGGGUUGCUGGGCCGACACUGACGCUGACAGCGCGAAAGCCAGGGGGAGCAAAC
rnacentral:rRNA from 1 species